UACGAGAGGCCCAAACGCUAUUCGGAAUUACUGGGCUUAAAGAGUUCGUAGGCGGCGCAGAAAGUAGGGUGUGAAAGCCCUCGGCUUAACCGAGGAAUUGCGCUCUAAACUACUGUGCUUGAGGAACCUAGAGGUGAGCAGAACUGAUGGUGGAGCGGUGAAAUGCGUUGAUAUCAUCAGGAAUACCGGAGGCGAAGGCGGCUCACUGGGGGUUUUCUGACGCUGAGGAACGAAAGCCAGGGGAGCGAACGGG
rnacentral:rRNA from 1 species